rnacentral:rRNA from 1 species
UACGGGGGGGGCAAGCGUUGUUCGGAAUUACUGGGCGUAAAGGGCUCGUAGGCGGCCCUCUCAGUCGGAUGUGAAAUCCCCAGGCUUAACUUGGGAACGGCAUCCGAUACUGGAGGGCUUGAAUUCGGGAGAGGGAUGCAGAAUUCCAGGUGUAGCGGUGAAAUGCGUAGAUAUCUGGAGGAAUACCGGUGGCGAAGGCGGCAUCCUGGACCGAGAUUGACGCUGAGGAGCGAAAGCUAGGGGAGCAAACGGG